UAAUACGAAGGGUGCAAGCGUUGCUCGGAAUUAUUGGGCGUAAAGGGUAGGUAGGUGGUAAUAAAAGUCUGGGGUGAAAUCCCUGAGCUCAACUCAGGACGUGCCUUGGAAACUUUAUUACUAGAGUGCUGGAGAGGUCCGCAGAAUUCCCGGUGUAGCGGUGAAAUGCGUAGAGAUCGGGAGGAAUACCAGAGGCGAAGGCGGCGGACUGGACAGCAACUGACACUCAACUACGAAAGCGUGGGUAGCAAACAGGAUUAGAUACCCUGGUAGUCCACGCUGUAAACGAUCGGUACUAGAGUUCGUGGGAGUUGACCCCUGCGGACUCGGAGCUAACGCGAUAAGUACCGCGCCUGGGAAGUACGGUCGCAAGACUA
rnacentral:rRNA from 1 species